GAUGAAGAACGUAGCGAAAUGCGAUAAGUAAUGUGAAUUGCAGAAUUCAGUGAAUCAUCGAAUCUUUGAACGCACAUUGCGCCCGCCAGUAUUCUGGCGGGCAUGCCUGUUCGAGCGUCAUUUCAACCAUCAAGCCCCAGGCUUGUGUUGGGGACCUGCGGCUGCCGCAGGCCCUGAAAACCAGUGGCGGGCUCGCUGUCACACCGGGCGUAGUAGAUUUUAUCUCGCUCAGGGCGUGCUGCGGGUUCCGGCCGUUAAAAAGCCUUUUUUACCCAAGGUUGACCUCGGAUCAGGUAGGAAGACCCGCUGAACUUAAGCAUAUCAAUAAGCGAGGA
rnacentral:misc_RNA from 1 species